AGCAUUUUAUGUGAGGUACGGGUUAAUGUGCCUCAUUGAUUCGCACACUAGAUCCAACACACGUGGCUCUAACACUCUUUUAGAUCAUGCUUUUUCUAACUUGAGUCCUAAAGUAUCCGGAGUAGUAGAUGUCGACAUUACCGAUCAUUAUCCCAUCUUCAUCACAU
rnacentral:lncRNA from 1 species